GGGCCAAGAAAAGCACCCCAUAAGGAAGUCUCUUGAAUUUUCUAUAGCCACAGAGAACAUCACAUUUUCUCCAAGUUUUUCAGUAUUGCUUGGGCCAAACU